rnacentral:rRNA from 1 species
ACGCACGCUGGCGGCAUGCCUCACCCCUGCAAGUCGCACGAGACCUUCGGGUCUAGUGGCGCACGGGUGCGUAACGCGUGGGAACCUGCCCUUAGGUUCGGAAUAACUCCCCGAAAGGGGUGCUAAUACCGGAUAAUGUCUUCGGACCAAAGAUUUAUCGCCUUUGGAUGGGCCCGCGUUGGAUUAGCUAGUUGGUAGGGUAAAAGCCUACCAAGGCGACGAUGCAUAGCUGGUCUGAGAGGAUGAUCAGCCACACUGGGACUGAGACACGGCCCAGACUCCUACGGGAGGCAGCAGUGGGGAAUAUUGGACAAGGGGCGAAAGCCUGAUCCAGCAAUGCCGCGUGAGUGAUGAAGGCCUUAGGGUUGUAAAGCUCUUUUACCCGGGAUGAGAAUGACAGUACCGGGAGAAUAAGCACCGGCUAACUCCGUG